GUGUGUGUGUGUGCUGGGAGCAGGCUGAUUCAGAGGGGGAUAUGUAUCUUUAUCUAUAUUUAAUUAUUCACGAGGAUGAGUGUUUCAUGUGCGAAACAAUGUUCAAAUGAAGGGGAAGAAGUCGUGUGGUUGUUAUGAGCGGCUGAACUGGUAGAGGCGUGAAAAGACCCGGGGGUUGGGGGUGUUGUCAUGGUGAAGAAUGGACACUCCCCCAGCUGGAGUUCCCCUGUGAGAUGGGGGCCCUGGAGCUGUGCGUAAGGGAAUGAUCCUUCAUUACAACACUCCUCCAGGAUUGUUUAAGCACAACGCAACCUCACGCUGAUGCAGUGAAUGUGUGUCUGCGGAGGUCAUCCAGAUCACACACUAUGACAAGGAUACAUGUCCAGCAAUCUACUGAUGAGUCAUCCACUCCCUCUUGGUCUCCUGGCAGGCGGCUCAACAGGAAGGCGAUAAGUUCAUCUCUGUUCUGGAACAUUCGGGUGGUAUUGCUAUGCUUAUUGAAAUGUACGAUUAGUAUCUCACUUUGUCAUGUCGAAGCAGAGGCAUCUCCACCUAGCCAUACAAAUAUAUACUAUACGCUCCUAAAUGUGUGAAGAGCUAUAUCACUUUAUGUAUUUAACAUUAAAAAUCAACUGAUUGUAAGUUGCAGCACAGCUAUAUAUUUACUGUCACUGUUAUGGGUCAUACUCUGCCAUACAUCUGUCUCUGUGUUGUGUGGUGUGUCCCGCCCCAUCUAACUUAGUUUCAUUUCUCAGUAAACCUCAACACAAGGCUACUCCCUAUACAGGAAACGGAACAGAUCCUAUCACUCUCAGACUGUUCUAGAAGCUUGAGGAAACAGAACAGAUCCUGCCACUCUCAGACUGUUCUAGAAGCUUCAGGAAACAGAACAGAUCCUGCCACUCUCAGACUGUUCUAGAAGCCUCAGGGAACUUUAUGCUGUGCAAUUAUUUUGAUCCCUUAGUAUUGUCAUGCUAUGUCACAUACUUAUGUCAAAGAGAAAGCGUGUUUUUCAGACACGUUGAACCUAUAUUUGUUUAAUCUGAUAAGUCCACUCUUUCAAGUGUAAACUGUUUUACUAUUAAUACACUUGCUGGUCUUUGUGGGUAGGAAAGUAAAGCAUUUAAAGACUACAACAUCCUAAUCCUAAUGAGUAUUGAGCAUAUACAGUAUAUUCACUUCACUUAUGUUUGACUUACAUUACUGAAAUCACGCAGGCUUUCUGCAGAGCCAUAGAGCUAGUAUGUUCAAGUUUGAAAUGUCUUUACUUGCCAUCAGAGUCUCUUCUUGGAGACAGAAACCUGCACGUGCAGUAAGUAGAAAGAAGUUCACAGACACACAAAAAGGUUUCCGUUACAGCUUUUGCCAUUUUUAUUAAUUUUUUUUGUAAGGAAAACAAGCGUACAGCAUUACUUAUUAGAAACUGUCGGGGUGUGUUUCACGAAUGGGUCCCCUCGACCCACCAACCAAGCAACAGACAACUAGAAGCCACC